GGCAUCCAAUAAUACAUAAAACUGGCCUUUAGUGAUCCAUUGUUCAGUAUGUUGCCUAUCACACCGACCAGCAUGUUUUUUGCAAAAUUUAAUACAAUUUCGUUGAUCUACAUCUGUUUUAUAUUCUACGAUCCUGUUAAAGAUGUUGAGGCACGACGACUAGCAAGAAUGAUUAAUGGGGAAGACGCCCUAAUUGAAGAAUUUCCAUCAAAUGUCUUCAUCAAUUCCGUGAACAUGGUAAAUGGAGUCCUGCGCGAGUUCUUCUGUAGCGGAUCGCUCAUUAGCCCAACUCAUGUACUGACUGCUGCACACUGUACCGUCUACUACAACGAAACAUUUAUGACAUCUCCUUACUUCCGGCUCCCGCACCAGAUGUUUGUCAAAGCAGGAGUUGCUAGUGUUCACCAGCGUGGCAACGACUACACUGUUAAACGAAUAUAUAGAUACGAACUCUGGAACACUCAGAAAGCAUUAAAUCCACGGUCAUGUGACGAUAUAGCCAUUCUCAAGUUAAACGAAGUUGUAGAGCUAGGCCCUACCCAACAAAUUAUUAAGUUACCAUGCGCCAGCCCCCCGUUCGGUGCCGAAGGUAUUCUGCUUGGAUCUGGAUCCACCUCUUCAGAUCCCAGAACACUCGGAACGAUGAAAAAAGCCACGUAUAAGGUCGUACCGUGCACGAAUUGGCUUCAAUAUGGUCUAAUUUGUGUCCGGAGUGAAACCGCUAACGUGACAACGGGUGACAGUGGUUCCGCUUUCAUAUACAACGGCAGACUUGCUGGAAUAAUUUCGGCAAUACCAAGAACACGAAACUAUUUUAUUCUAACGGAUAUCUUUAACUAUUUCAAUUGGAUUGUGAAUCAGAUUGGCAUGCCGGAGGAAUUUGCAAACCAACCUCAUAUGUUAGGCUGACAAGUGGAGUUGCACGAAUAUCGAAUGGGCAGUCGUACAUAGAAAUGAUUUGCUAUUGAUCAGCCUCUUGACUAGCCCUAUCAGUGAUCUCCAGGACGUAAUCGACAAUUAUCAGCUCAUUAUUAUUCGGUGUUAAAUGAUUUAUUCAAAUUUAUGCUGAGUAUCUUACUUUGUUCAAAUAUUUCUAAUCAGAAACGUGAUGAAUGAAUAAUUUCGAUAUUUGCUUCACAAAACUUCAUGAUCUUUAUUGAAGUAAAACAGAUGCUCAUUAUAGAAUCACUUAUUUGGUGGCGACUGCUUUCGCUUUUGGAAGUCCCUCCCUGAAUCCAUUCCUACAAUGAUAAUAGUAACACAAUUAAUCUACUGUCUGAACUGAAAAGGGAGAAGAGUGAUCGGAUUUGAUAAACAACGAGUUAAUGAAUUCUGGCCGUUUCAUUUCAACCCAACCAAUUUGAUCCUCAGCCAUGAUUUCCCCCCAAUAAUGUAGAAGCUGCUGAGCGUUGUUUAAUUUUAUUCCAAGCAUAAAAUAACAAAUACUCAUUUACAAAUACUUAUUUACUGUGGAAAAGCUUUAGCGAGAGAAGAGGAGAGAUUUCGUGAAUGAGGGAGUAGGAUCCUAUUCUAAAAAGAAGAGCCACAUAUCGUAUCGAAAAUCUCGAAUCGAAUCGAAAUCUCGCAAAGAUGUAGCCAGUAUCCUAUUGGUCGUUUAAAUUUUAGGCGCUACUUUUAAAACAUAAUGUAAAGAUCGUUAUGAUUCACCGUGAGAGAGAGAUUCAAGUGUUGAUCACUCACUCACUAUGAUUCAAGUGUUGAUGUCAAAUGCUUUCGGACGAAUCAAAGGUGAAUCAAAUUGAUUUAUAUGACAGAAACAAAACUCAUCCAUCAUUUUCCGCGCGCUGAAGCGCGCGUUCGGUCUUGUGGUGGGAGAAGACGAAUGUAAUUAGUUAGUUCCUUCAAGGAAACGAAGCAGAGCGCUUGUGCCUUUUCAGCGUAUAAAAUAAAAGAAUUAAAACGGAAUUCACACAUUUGAUUAUUGAACCAUUAUCCCAUUUCCAAUAUAUUUUUUCCAGGUUUCGAACACAAUAGUGGUGAAUUGGUAUUUAUAAACAGACCAACGAAUAUUAUUUAACACAAGAUAAAUAGACAAGUAACGAGUAAUAUCGUUAGAUUCGCGAGAGUUACAUUUGUCUCAUAAACUGAUAGGAUCAACACGAGGAUCAACACUCUCCUCUAAAGAUUUUUUUUUUUUUAAUUAAAAGGUGUAAAGCUGGUAAAAGGUAAUGAAAUCUAGGAAAUAGGAAUCAAGACUUGGAAUAAUUCGGCCGACACAACAGGAAAAUUAUUCAACUAUUACUCAUUUGCACUCGGCAAUUUCUACGGUGGAGCGUUCAAAUCUCGGCGAAGGCGCUCAAUGUUUUUUUUACAAUUUCUCCCAACAAAAGGUUGGCAUGCAAAUCGGAAUAUUAUAAAGAAAAACAUGGAUAGCGAAAGGAUAGAUGAUGAUUUUUUGAAGAAUCUAUUCAUCCCUUCAUACAUUCUCGCUCACGAUUUUCCAUAUUCGUAGGAAUAAAGUAUUUACAGGGAGACUCUUUCCACGUCACCCAAUUGGAAACACAAAACAAAAUUCAUGAAUAUACUUCCCUGGGUUUUAGGUCAGCAUGAAAAGUGAUUUACAUCACAUGGUUCAGAAAAUAUUUCCUGAUGAAUGUGAUUAAUCGGGAAAAAUUCUGUUUUUUAACGAAGCCAGACGUCAAAAGUUAUUAUUGAUUGUUUUAUACCCCCUAUCAAUUUACCAUCAGUCACAAAAAUGGCCGAAACACCAUUGGAAUUUAUGCGCUCGAUCUUUUAACCUUCACAAAAUAUUAUCUUCUCUUUUAUGUGGAAUCAUAAAACCGAAAGAAUAUGCAGUUCGAGGAAUGCGGACUUCCUUAUCUGGCCAGGGCCAUUAGAUGUAUACUAAACCAGACUGCAAAAGUAGAAAUAUUGUAGUAUUAAUUUUACUUUACAAAAAAAUGUAACUAUUUCCCAAUAUUUACCCAAAUUUAUUCUCAAUAUGAACAUUCUUCAUUUGUAAACACGUGUAUUAUCGCUGAUGAUGGUCAACUUUAUUGUACUGAAUUUUUUGAUAAACUUCAAAAAAUAUUGAAACUUCUAAACUUUCCAAUAUAAUUCUCGCCUUAUGGCACUGGCAUCCAAUGAUACAUAAAACUGGCCUUUAGUGAUCCAUUGUUCAGUAUGUUGCCUAUCACACCGACCAGCAUGUUUUUUGCAAAAUUUAAUACAAUUUCGUUGAUCUACAUCUGCUUUAUAUUCUACGAUGCUAAAGAUGUUGAGGCACGACGACAAGCAAGAAUGAUUAAUGGGGAAGACGCCCUAAUUGAAGAAUUUCCAUCAAAUGUCUUCAUCCUUACCGUGUACAAGUUGAAUGGAACAAUGAACACGGACUUCUGUAGCGGAUCGCUCAUUACCCCAACUCAUGUACUGACUGCCGCACACUGUACCGUCUUCUACAAGAAAACAUUUAUGGCAUUCCCUUACUACUGGCUCCCGCAGAAUAUCUUUGUCAGAGCGGGGGUUGCUACUGUUUUUCUGCGUGGCAACGACUACACUGUUAAAAGAAUAUAUAGACACGAACGCUGGAACGUUCAGAAAGAAUUAACUCCAUCGUCAAGUAACGAUAUAGCCAUUCUCGAGUUAAACAAAGUUGUAGAGCUAGGCCCUACCCAACAAAUUAUUAAGUUACCAUGCACCAGCCCCGAGUUCGAUGCCGAAGGUAUUCUGCUUGGGGCCGGACCGACAUCUUCAGAUCCCAAUACACUCGGAACGAUGAAAAAAGCCACGUUUAAGGUCGUACCGUGCACAAAUUGGUUCCAAUUUAAUCGAAUUUGUGUCCGGAGUGAAACCGUUAAUUCGACACCGGGUGACAGCGGUUCCGCUUUCAUAUUCAAGGACAGACUUGCUGGAAUAAUAUCGUCAAAACCAAAAAAACGAGACUAUCUUAUUCUAACGGAUGUCUUUACAUAUUUCAAUUGGAUUGUGAAUAUUGUUGGCAUGCCGGAGGAAUUUGCAGACCAACCUUGGAUGUCAGAGUGCCAAGUGGGGUUGCAGGGAUAUCGAAUCGGCAGUCGUACAUAGAAAUGAUUUGCUAUUGAUCAGCCUCUUGACUAGCCCUAUCAGUGAUCUCCAGGACGUAAUCGACAAUUAUCAGCUCAUUAUUAUUCGGUGUUAAAUGAUUUAUUCAAAUUUAUGCUGAGUAUCUUACUUUGUUCAAAUAUUUCUAAUCAGAAACGUGAUGAAUGAAUAAUUACGAUAUUAGCUUUACAAAAUUUCAUGAUCUUUAUUGAAGUAAAACAGAUGCUCAUUAUAGAAUCACUUAUUUGGUGGCGACUGCUUUCGCUUUUGGAAGUCCCUCCCUGAAUCCAUUCCUACAAUGAUAAUAGUAACACAAUUAAUCUACUGUCUGAACUGAAAAGGGAGAAGAGUGAUCGGAUUUGAUAAACAACGAGUUAAUGAA